rnacentral:rRNA from 1 species
GAUGAACGCUAGCGAUAGGCUUAACACAUGCAAGUCGAGGGGCAGCAUGAUCUUAGCUUGCUAAGGUCGAUGGCGACCGGCGCACGGGUGCGUAACGCGUAUGCAACUUGCCUUACAGAGGGGGAUAACCCGUUGAAAGACGGACUAAAACCGCAUACACUUGUAUUAUUGCAUGAUAUUACAAGGAAAUAUUUAUAGCUGUAAGAUAGGCAUGCGUCCCAUUAGCUGGUUGGUGAGGUAACGGCUCACCAAGGCGACGAUGGGUAGGGGAACUGAGAGGUUUAUCCCCCACACUGGUACUGAGACACGGACCAGACUCCUACGGGAGGCAGCAGUGAGGAAUAUUGGUCAAUGGGCGAGAGCCUGAACCAGCCAAGUCGCGUGAAGGAAGACAGUCCUAAGGAUUGUAAACUUCUUUUAUACGGGAAUAACGGGCGAUACGAGUAUUGCAU